ensembl:lincRNA Gm3764 predicted gene 3764
ACGCCCCACACACAUUCAAUCACAGCCUCAAGUUCAAAAGUGAAUUAAAACUCAAAGAAGCCUGGGGACAGGGACAAGAGUACUUCUGUCAUUCAUUCUCUUCCCCUGCUUCCUUGGGGACAAGGGUGGCCUGGAGGAACAAUAGUGUCCCCUGGCCCCUUCUUCCUGCAUUGGGUUAGAAAAGGCAGCAGAAAGCAGUGGGGAUGACAAAGACACACACACACACACACACACACACACACACACACACACACACCCCAGGCUUGAGAAGGGAGGAGGAGGAGGCGUCUCUGGCUGGACGGACAGACUGUUAUUUUGGUGGUGGGCAUGGUCCCAGAUAGGGGCAGCGUUCCCCUUUUUCCUGGCUUUUCAGGGAGAGCAGCAAGAGAAAGAAAGAAGCAAACGAAAUUCCUGAAUGGAUAAGAGAUGCUACGUCAGCGGUACUGGAGCCGCAUCCUCCACUCCACGAGAAGAGAAGAGCUAGGAGAGACCAGCGGGCGGUAGCUGCGGCGAGUGGCCUCUCCGUGCGGCACAGAGGCAAGAAGCAGCCAUCCAUCCAGAAGCAGCCUCCGUGUUCCGUUUGUCCGGAUGUCAUCGUAGGUGGCCGGCAUCUCUGGCUUUGGGGUAUUUAUUUCCUUCCUUGCUUUGAUGGUGGUGUGGGUGGGGGAGGGGAAAAGGGAAGCUAGUCCUGUUCCACCCCAGCUCUCCACCCCACUCGCUGUCUCUUCUAGGCUUUGAUUUUGGUCCAUUUUGUAGUAAGAACUGCAUUGUCAAAGCUAAGAAGCAAUGCAAACAACAUAGCCUGGGGACAAAAGGCCACCCUGUGUCUGGUUCGGUGCAGAGAGGAAAGCGCCCUCCCUCUUCUUCCACAGCUCCCUGGGGACGAGAUGGGGGUCUUUGACUCUGGGGAAGUGGUUGAGAAAGGUUUGAGAAAGGGACAGAGAUAGCUAAGGGGGUGUCAGGUGAGCCAGGAGAGCAGUAUAGAUUGGGAUGGAUGGGGUGGGGGGAGCUGGGUCUUUAAGUCGCUGAGUGGGUACAUGAGCACCUUUAGCAUUGGGAGAUAAUGCUACUUGCCUUGUCCAUGAAUUUACCACUGAAUGUGUCUGAGUUUAUGGGUGUGAGAGUGCAUGCCUGUGAUUGAGUAUGGGUGUGCUUUACACACUCGCGCUUUUGACCAGAGAAGAGCUUAUGGGAAACAUGGAUGACUAAGCUGACCCCUGGCCAUCUUAGUCACCAUGUCUCAUUUCCCUACAAUGUAGGACUGGGGCAAUAGGCAUGUGAGUCCAUGGGGAGCAGACCAGGAGGAGCUGGGAAGGCUGAAAAUGCUCCCACUUCCAGGAAGGGUGUGUCUCAGGGGCCACCUCCUCUAAAUGGAGUCUCCAGGCAUCCUAACCUCAUCAGUGCAUUGCUAACUGCUGUUACUUUUAUUUGUCCCAAUGCUAUACACAUUGCAGGCAUUCAGUGACAGAAUACUGUUUAAUAGUAGCCACAGUAAUUAGUAGCACAGUAAUUCUGUUGCAGAGAUAAGCACACCCCCAGAUAAAGCUCUGAGUGUAUCUUUAAGGCAAAUCCACCUUGCAAACAAGGGAAAACUAUGUUUUUAUUAUACUUUCUAAGCAUUAAUCCCUUAUGCACUACUUUACUAUUUCAGGAAAGUGCUUUACUGCCAAAGUUUACAUAGAGUCUCAAAAGGUCCAGUCCAGACAGCAUAACUGAGCCUGUGCUUCUGUCUCUGUAGGCCCUUCAGACUCAGAGACAAUAGGUGGGCAGCUGUAUUGAGAGGGGACAUUGGCUUUGGUUGUAGCUGUGCCUCAAGGCUUAGGUGUUUGCCUAGUAUGUAUUGAGCCCUGGGUUUGAUCCCAGGAACCCCCAAAGGAUGAAGGCUCCUGGAACACCCACAGACCCCUAUUAGCACAAAGAGUUGAAAUGUCCUCCCAAGAAGUAGUCACAGUGAGAGCCACAGGCCACCAGAGAGUAGACUGCUUUGUGCUGGAGGAGACAGAAAGGGCUCUGCUCCUUAGGAGACUGAGGCUGGUGAGCCAAUCCAGCCCUCUGGGCGCUUGUGCCCAGCCCUGAGUCCUGCAGACUUGCUGCAUCCAUUGCUGUUCUCUGUUGUCUCCUCUGACACAAAUACAUUUCUCAAAGAUUCUGCAUAAACCUUCCCUACUGUUUUGGUUUGUGAAGGAAGAAUACAAUACGUCAG